CUUAUGAAAGUUAGCGGCGGACGGGUGAGUUAACACGUGGGUAACCUGCCCAUAAGACUGGGAUAACUCCGGGAAACCGGGGCUAAUACCGGAUAAUAUUUUGAACUGCAUGGUUCGAAAUUGAAAGGCGGCUUCGGCUGUCACUUAUGGAUGGACCCGCGUCGCAUUAGCUAGUUGGUGAGGUAACGGCUCACCAAGGCAACGAUGCGUAGCCGACCUGAGAGGGUGAUCGGCCACACUGGGACUGAGACACGGCCCAGACUCCUACGGGAGGCAGCAGUAGGGAAUCUUCCGCAAUGGACGAAAGUCUGACGGAGCAACGCCGCGUGAGUGAUGAAGGCUUUCGGGUCGUAAAACUCUGUUGUUAGGGAAGAACAAGUGCUAGUUGAAUAAGCUGGCACCUUGACGGUACCUAACCAGAAAGCCACGGCUAACUACGUGCCAGCAGCCGCGGUAAUACGUAGGUGGCAAGCGUUAUCCGGAAUUAUUGGGCGUAAAGCGCGCGCAGGUGGUUUCUUAAGUCUGAUGUGAAAGCCCACGGCUCAACCGUGGAGGGUUCAUUGGAAACUGGGAGACUUGAGUGCAAGAAGAGGAAAAGUGGAAUUCCAUGUGUAGCGGUGAAAUGCGUAGAGAUAUGGAGGAACCACCAGUGGCGAAGGCGACUUUUCUGGUCUGUAACUGACACUGAGGCGCGAAAGCGUGGGGAGCAACAGGAUUAAAUACCCUGGUAUUCCACGCCGUAACGAUGAGUGCUAAGUGGU
rnacentral:rRNA from 1 species